rnacentral:rRNA from 1 species
GAUCAUGGCUCAGGAUGAACGCUAGCUACAGGCUUAACACAUGCAAGUCGAGGGGCAGCAUGAUCUUAGCUUGCUAAGAUUGAUGGCGACCGGCGCACGGGUGAGUAACGCGUAUCCAACCUUCCCUAUAGUAGGGGAUAGCCCGUAGGAAUGCGGAUUAAUACCCUAUGUUGUAUUUAGAUGACAUCUGACGAAUACCAAAGGUUCACCGCUAUAGGAUGGGGAUGCGUCUGAUUAGGUAGUCGGCGGGGUAACGGCCCACCGAGCCAACGAUCAGUGGGGUUCUGAGAGGAAGGUCCCCCACAUUGGAACUGAGACACGGUCCAAACUCCUACGGGAGGCAGCAGUGAGGAAUAUUGGUCAAUGGGCGAGAGCCUGAACCAGCCAAGUAGCGUGCAGGAUGACGGCCCUAUGGGUUGUAAACUGCUUUUAUGCGGGGAUAAAGUGAGGGACGUGUCCCUUAUUGUAGGUACCGCAUGAAUAAGGACCGGCUAAUUCCGUGCCAGCCGCAGC